GUGAAUUUGCACAUCUUGUUUUUAUUGUUGCUUUGUAGCGUAGCUCGUUUUAUAGGAGCGUGGAGCCAGCUUCCUAGCGCUAACGUGACCAAAGUGAGCAAAGACAUCAGUAAGAUCAGAGCAAAGGGAAUUUCUGGGCCUCAAAUCUUGCAUAUUGAAACAUGCAUCGUGUACGGGGCCCAUAAGAGGUGUUGCGUGGUCUUAUUUAUCCCUUAAUAUUUCAAGAAUGUGAUGACUAACUGUAAAAUUUUACUGAGAAGAUGAUUAGGGGACAUAUUUUCAAUUUUGCAUGCUAGGCUUAUACAAGGCAAGAGUGGCUAUGGGGGAAGGUUAAACUUUAAAAUCUAAGUAGCUUCCUUUUAUUUUAAGUUUUCCUGUGUAGAAGACAACCAUCUCAUACAAUGGGCAUACAGUUUGUAUACGCGCUGCAGCCCCAGGAAUGUCGAGGAGCUAAAAAGAGUGGCAGCGAAAGAAAUUGCAUCCAGGAAAAGGAGGAAAAGAUGACAGGCUAAACCACACGUGUCAUGAUGAAGGGAGAGGUGAGCUGGAAAAUACGUUCUCACUUCACUGCCAUAGCCCCAGUGAGGCAUGUGCCUGAAGUACCCAACCUAUUGCAGAACUGCAUCCUGCCAUGUAGACACAGUCCCUUCCUCCAUCCUCCAGAGGCAAACAAAGGAGGAAGAGCACAGGUAGUGGACUUCUCCAAGGCCACACAGCAGGUUAGCAGCUCAGCCUGACUUCUGACUAAUCCAUUUAAUCAUGCUUCCUCUCAUGACUAACCACAGCGUGGACAGA
rnacentral:lncRNA from 1 species